CGAACGCUGGCGGCGUGCUUAACACAUGCAAGUCGAACGGUGAAGCGCCUUCCUUUUUGGUGGGUGUGGAUGAGUGGCGAACGGGUGAGUAACACGUGAGUAACCUGCCCCCUUCUUCUGGAUAACCGCAUGAAAGUGUGGCUAAUACGGGAUAUUCUGGGUCUGUCGCAUGAUGGGUCUGGGAAAGAUAUUGUUUCGGUGGGGGAUGGGCUCGCGGCCUAUCAGCUUGUUGGUGGGGUGAUGGCCUACCAAGGCGGUGACGGGUAGCCGGCCUGGGAGGGUGGACGGUCACACUGGGACUGAGACACGGCCCAGACUCCUACGGGAGGCAGCAGUGGGGAAUAUUGCACAAUGGGCGCAAGCCUGAUGCAGCGACGCCGCGUGAGGGAUGGAGGCCUGCGGGUUGUGAACCUCUUUCGCCAGUGAAGCAGGCCUGCCUCGUUUGUGGGUGGGUUGACGGUAGCUGGAGAAGAAGCGCCGGCUAACUACGUG
rnacentral:rRNA from 1 species